UAGACUUGUCCCUGAAAACCAACUCCUC
rnacentral:piRNA from 1 species